rnacentral:lncRNA from 1 species
UUGGGGGCCUACGUGUCACUGUAAAAGUAAUUUUAUUCUUCAAUUAUUUGAUUUAAAGUAUGUAUGAAUAUAUUUAGCUUUUACACCAUGUUUUUGGCGAGUUUCGGUAUUUUCGAAGAAAAAUGAUGAAAAUGCCCUUGUGAGCCAUAAAGUAAUAUUUUAUUGUUUUGAUUUGGAAAUGACUUAUGAUUUUUUUGAAAUGUGAGAUUUAAUAACUGUCGCUCACUAGGGAGAUGCGGAAGCUGAUGCUAAGCCUUGCGGGGUUUCGAUCGGCAUUCG